GUGUGUAUGGUGUUCAGUACCAGGGACAGAUGUGGUUACCGGUGUGGAUGGUGUUCAGCAUCAGGGACAGACGUGGUUACUA
rnacentral:pre_miRNA from 1 species